rnacentral:rRNA from 1 species
ACGCUGGCGGCAUGCCUAACACAUGCAAGUCGAACGAACCCUUCGGGGUGAGUGGCGCACGGGUGCGUAACGCGUGGGAACCUGCCUUUAGGUUCGGAAUAACAGUUAGAAAUGACUGCUAAUACCGAAUAAUGUCUUCGGACCAAAGAUUUAUCGCCUUUAGAUGGGCCCGCGUUGGAUUAGCUAGUUGGUGGGGUAAAGGCCUACCAAGGCGACGAUCCAUAGCUGGUCUGAGAGGAUGAUCAGCCACACUGGGACUGAGACACGGCCCAGACUCCUACGGGAGGCAGCAGUGGGGAAUAUUGGACAAUGGGCGAAAGCCUGAUCCAGCAAUGCCGCGUGAGUGAUGAAGGCCUUAGGGUUGUAAAGCUCUUUUACCAGGGAUGAUAAUGACAGUACCUGGAGAAUAAGCUCCGGCUAAC